rnacentral:rRNA from 1 species
UGGGGAAUAUUGCACAAUGGGGGAAACCCUGAUGCAGCGACGCCGCGUGAGCGAUGAAGGCUUUCGAGUCGUAAAGCUCUGUCCUAUGGGAAGAUAAUGACGGUACCAUAGAAGAAAGCCCCGGCUAAUUACGUGCCAGCAGCCGCGGUAAUACGUAAGGGGCGAGCGUUGUCCGGAAUUAUUGGGCGUAAAGAGUGCGUAGGCGGCAAAUUAAGUCAGAUGUGAAAACUAAGGGCUCAACCCAUAGAUUGCAUCUGAAACUGAUAUGCUUGAGUCAAGGAGAGGAAAGUGGAAUUCCUCGUGUAGCGGUGGAAUGCGUAGAUAUUAGGAGGAAUACCGGUGGCGAAGGCGACUUUCUGGACUUGAACUGACGCUGAGGCACGAAAGCGUGGGGAGCAAACAGG